UUUUUUUUUUUUUUUUUUUGCUCAGACAGCCUUACCGUUUCUUAAAUUGACUUAUAAAAACCCACGUGGGAAAAAAAUGAAAAUAAAAAAAAAUAAAAAUAAAAAUAAAAACCCAUGUGGGGUCCUCAGAAAAAGGCCCACAGGCCUGAGAGUUAAUUUCUUAUGUCUUUUUCAUUCCCCUCCCCCUUCCUUUCCUAAAUCUAAUUUUUCUUCCCAUACAUGAUCACGGUUAUGCCACAAGAGAGGAAAUACUUUCUAAUUUACUAGAAUCUCCUGACACUCAAAAUUUACCUACAUUUACCAUUUUAGACAUUAUGAAGUAAAAGGAUCUGGCAAAGGGAUUUCAACAUCAGGUCUAUUCUCCUUUCCUCACAGCAACAAUUCAUUACCUAUUUUUCUCUAGAACUUCAAUCAAGAGAAACCUUUCUUUCUGUAUAUUUAGAAACCUGCAAAAAGGGAAAUCUGUUCCCUAGUACUUGUUUCAUGGAAAGCACUUAGUAAAAAUACUACAUUUUCAUUUUCUGAGCAAGACACUUCUCACCCUUGGCCUAGAAGUCCCAAUGCUCUCUGUUAUAUUUUGAAAGAGAGAAUGAAUUAGAUUUACUGUAACCCCUUUGAGAAAUAGUAAUUUGCUUUCUUAAUUCACUGAGUCAAUCAGAGGACAUUCAGGGAAAACCACAGGAAAGAUUCUUCCACAUUUUGUGUUUCAAAACUAAAAUAAAAGCUUGGCAUUUAAACUUGCUACUGUAGUCCUUGAAAAUGUCUCCAAUCAUCUUUUGUUGAAUUAGUGGAUUACAAGCUCAGAGUUUCUGUUGCUUUCAUUGUUCUCUUCUAUUUACCAGACUCAGAUACAUUUUCCCCGAUAACUUCCUGAAUUAACCAACAGGUGAGUUAAUCCAAUGCUACCAGGUCCCCAGAUCACAAGCCAUGUUUACCCAAAAAUGUUCCUUCCCACAACAAAGGGACUUGCUGUCCUGUGUGUAGCAGAGUGUUUAGCAUAUAGUGAGUACUUUUUUUUUUUUUUUAAUGAAACAGAUGCAUGAAUGAAUAAGUAACUUGUCCUCAAUCUUUCCCAAAGUCUCAGGAAGACGGAAAGCAGUGAAGGUGUUUAAAUGAAACUAUUGGGAGCAGACUACCAGGACUAUCUCCUCCUGGAAAAAGAAAACCCAACGGGCACAACCCAAAAGAGCGGUGUGCUAGGAAGGGAGAGGACUCACAGGUGCUGGCUUCCUCCCUCUUAUUAUAACUUCCUGUUGGGAAGCAUGACAGAUCGUGCAGAACUCAAGGCAGGCAGGCAGGCUCUCGAAUGCCCGGGUAUUCUCUAGGUUCCCAUUUCCCCUGGGCCCAAGCUGCCAUUCUCUCUCACUAACCUGUCAACAGCCCCCUACCUGGUCUAUCCAAAUAAACACUGGCCUCCCUCCAAUACAUUUCUGCACGGCAGCCAGACUGACUGUCCUACAAAGCAAAUCUGAUCAUGUCUCCCCCUCUCUGACCCAGUGGCUCCUGGGAGAGAAACAGCUUAAAGCCUAAAGUUGAACAAAAAUCAAAAUGGCUACAGUAAUGCUUUGGCAAAGCUCCAUUUUAAAGUGACUUUUUUCCUCUCUUCCACAAACCUCCCUCCUCUCUUCCUAGUCUUUUGUUCCAGGAACCUGGUACCACCCUAAGGAAGUGACGAAGGAGGCUGGUUGCAGGAACACGAUUCCUGGCCAAACGGGCUAGAUCUCUCCCUAGAAACCGCCCCCCCCCCCCCAGCCCCUUCCUCGGGGAGGGCUUGCAGGUUUUGAAGGCCAUAGCCUGCUGCAGCCUCCCUUGCCUGGCAAAGCAAUAUAGCUAUUGUUCCUCUUUAUCCCCAACUCUGUCUUCAAGUUCUAUUUUGGCUCUGAAGAAGGGAAGUCAGUCUUCCACAAGAGGAGGACUGCCUCAUGGGGCCUACAUAAUCCUAUCGGCUCUCCAGUCUCAUCAGGUACAGCCCUGGCACUCACUCCACCCAGCUCUAAGGGCCUUCCUCUACCUCGUCAAACUCGACACAAUCCCACCAGCCUUGAGCUGAGCACAUGGUGUUCCCUCUAGUUGGAAUCUCUUCCUUACCCUUUCAGAUCUCAGUUUAAGUACAAUUUCCUCACAGAAGAAUUCUCUGACUUCCAUAAUCAAGCAACACCAAACUUAUUACAAAACCUCAUAGGAAACUUCUAGGAGAAAAGCCUCAUGGCCUUGGGUGAGGCAAAAAGUGCUUGCAUACGGUAGCAAAAGCAGAUUUCAUUAAAAAUUUUUUUGUUCAAAAGGACUUUCUCAAAAUUAAAAAUUUUGUGUUUCAAAAUAUACAAGAAAAUGAAAAACUAAAAAAUGUAAGAGUAUUAGCAAACCGUAUAUCCGAUAAAGAACAUGUAUCCAAAAUAUAUAAAGAACAUUCCAACUCAAUAAAACAAUCCAAUUAAGAAACAGGCCAAAUGCCUCAAAGGUCAUUUAACCAAAGAAGAUGCACAAAUGGCUAAUCAAUACAGGAAAAGAUGCUGAACAUCAUUAGUCAGUGGAGAAGUCCCAAUCGAAAUCACACGAGAUUCCACUUCAUUUCCACUCCAGUGGCUGUAUUAAAAAAGACUGACAGUAGAAAGCGUCGACAAGAAUGAGGAAAAACUGGAAUCCUUCUACAUGGCUGGUGGGAAUGGCAAAUGGCAAAGCCACUAUAGAAAACAACUCGACGGUUUCUUUAGAAAGUGAAAUGGAAACUUAUCACAUCACUCAGCAAUUCCGCUCCUAGGACGCAUCCUUCCAGAGAGAAAUGAAAACAUGUAUCCACACAAACACUUGCACGUGAAUGUCUACAGAGCAAUUAUUAGUAAUAGGCCCAAACUGAAAACGAUCCAACUGUCCUUCAACUGGAAAACGGAUGAGCAAAAUGUGCUCUAUUCACAUAUUGGAAUACCAUUUGGCAACAAAAGGAACCAAGUACUGAUACGUGCUACCACAAGGAUGAAACUCAAAAACACUCUGCUAAGUCAAAGAAGGGAAAGAACAAACGGCUACACUUGUUAUCAUUCCGUUUUAUGAAAUGUCCAUAAGGAGACAGAUCACUAAAUAGACUAAAUUUACUAAAAACCACUGAAUUAUACACUUAAAAUGGCAAAUUUUAUGGUAUACAAACUGCACCCCAACACAGCUGUUAAGAAUACAAAAACACAACCUCAUGUGAACGUGUGGCUCUUCUACAGCACUUACCCUCAAGUGGCCAGCACAGCAGGCACUCAGAAGGGGGGUACAGAGUCCUCUGAAAGCACUCUGCUUCUUGUGUAAGAGGCGGCCUUACACGGUAGAGAGACCACAGGCUCCCAAGUCAAGAAGGCAAUGUUCAAACACUGCCUCACCACCUCCUUGCUGGGUAAUUCUGGAAAGUUACUUAAAAUCUCUCAAAUUCAGUAAAAUAGGGACAAGAAUACUACAACUGCUGUGAGAACUGACAACAAUACAGAUACAAUAUGGCUUCCGUCCCCUUCAUUCCACGAAGACGCUCUUCUCACGGCCACCAACAGCCUACGUGUUGCCGGUUCUGACGGACACAGGUUUCUGACUCUCCGCUUGUGCCUAUGACACUUUCACGGCGACUUCCUGCUCCAUAAGGAAACCAGGCUGAAUCCUGCCGCUUAGCACACUCGGAACCAUCACAGGCCCUGCUGACGUGUUUUCUUCGUCUCGGGCCCCCUCGUAAGCGCUUCGGGCUCACAGCAUGAGCUCCUUGAAGACAGCACAGGCACACACGCCCCAUGCCGAUUUGGGGGCCUUCCCGACCUUCUUGGUAUAAAGCCACUGCUCCCGGAGCUUCAACAGCCACAUGGGAUCUUUUUCAAGAUACUCCUAUACUCACCCAAGACAGGUGCACGGAUUCCACAGGCUUAGUGACACUGACUACAAGCAUCCCUGACACCAUCUGGGUGUCCUUCCACAUCUGGAAGGUCCCCCCACUUGUGAACCUGAACCGGUCCCUGCUAACCCUGUGGUCUACUGCUCCUAUAACCGUUGACCGUCUCCCAACUGCACUGUGAACUUCGAGAUGGUAAAUACUUAGUCUUACUCAUCUUUACAUUCUCUACUUCAGCUAAACUAGUGCAAAAUAAAUGUAUGAGAAAAGAAGAGAAUAAAUCUGUAAAUCUCAAUAUUUGUAGCUCAUUCUUAAACUCUAAAUAUGUGAGAUUUUUCAUACUGUAACUUUAAGGCAUUUUCCCAAAAGUUACUCUGAUGUCCUAAUCCUACUAUUGCACAUUUGUUAAUAAACUGUUUCUGAAACCGAAGUUUGAGUCCUAAAGAUAGAUCUGUGAUAAAAAUAGCCCAUAUUUGGAGAUGAACAACUACCUUAAUUUACAGAACUUUACCACUGUUUUCAUUAACGAGAGAGCAUAUGGCUAAUCAAAAAAUGAACAGUUAGGAGUCCUAUCAGUAAAAAUUAUAGUUAGCAUGAAUACAUGAUUACUCACCAGGGCUUAGGUACUAAUAAUUAUCCCAUUAUAUAGACCAGCAAACACAGGUUCAGGGACAUACAGGCCAUUCAAACCCAGGCCGUGUGUGAAACUGCUGAUACCCUUCUCCACCAACCCGUAUUUAUUACAUACAGGAAACUCAGCUCUGUAACCUGGGAAGGUUUACACUUGAUUUUUCUGUUGUUCCUUUAUCUUUACGCCUCACAAGACAGAGAAUGCAAGUAAUGGAAAACAAGUCACUUAACCUGUCGGCUCUGUCUCUGCAGUAAUGGUAGCUAACGCUUAUAUACAGCACUUUUAUGUAAUUGCCAGGCAUUGCUGCAAAUCCUUUACACAUAUCGGCCCAGUUCAUCCUUUAGGUCCUAUUAUCAUCUCUAUUUUAAUGAGGAGAGGAAACGGAGGCUCAGCCAGGUUACAAGACAUACCCAGACAAGCUAAGGUUUCAGUUCUCCUCGUCUGGUCCACAUUCCACGGUCUCGCUCACCUGCUAUCCCGGUAAACAGGUACACGUGCGCUUGGGUGAACCUGACACGCAUAGUGUAAGGAUUAAGCCUUGUAUAUCCCCCAAACUGGAGCGAAGUUACUAUUUCCACCAACCCUGUUUUUCCCAGCUAUAUUUUGUAGUCUGGUCUUUAAUAUCAUAUUUAGGUAAAAUUAAAGUGGCAUUAAUUUACAAGAGUACACAAUUAUUUUCCAUAUUUAUCAUCGUACAGGACACUUUUGAUGCAUGGUAUGUAUUAACAAAACUAAGGCAAAGGUCAUUUCAUAAACUUAGGAACGUGAUUUAUCCAGUCAAUACAAUUUCUGGGACUAGUCAACGCAAACGAGCUUACAUAAACCACUGGAAAGAGUCAGCUCUGGAAAAUUCUUAACAACGAGAAAACAGGGUGGUCGCUCUGUAAACAUGCGUGCAGUUAAUACGAAUUCUUAGUACCGUGUUGAAACAUAAAGGAGUCUCUGCACCUACUGCUCAAGGCCUUUAUCAGAAAGACAAUGAAUCCAGAUGGUUAAGCAGUUCAAAGGUACAAAGACACCUGGUUCCCGAUGCCCACGUCUCCAGAAUCCGAGCACAUAAGCAAAACAAGAAUCCUCUGUAGCUUCUCGGUAUCACCACGAAUUUUAAAAAGCGUUACAAGGAGAAAAUGCAGACAUCGCGUAAACGGAUGACUCAUUCCCUCCCUCCCUUCCCCCGACACUGGCCGAAGGUCUCUGCGUGCCGGACGCGGCAACAGCUGCUCGAGGUGCAAGCGCUGGUGGCUCUUUGUAGUCAUCCCGUCCCCUCGGUGUCGCAUAGAGGGGGUGCGAGAGCAGUAAACACAGCUGCCUACUAAAUGAAUCAAGAGCAUUUCAGCCAGGAAAUGGCUGGAGAAAAUGAGGCUCCCUUAGAGAAAAUGAAGUAACCGAAGCGGAGCCCAGGCACUCCUACAGAGAAGGACACACCACCGCGAGGCCGCUGUCAAGGUGCUGAGACCCAAACGGAAGGCUCACGGUGUAGCAUCCGUACAAUUUGGGAUGUCUCGUAUACGUUAAUUUCAGUCCAUUCUGAGCAUAUGGUUUUCACCAAAAGGGAUCAGAAGCGAAUCUGCUGUCAUUCUCCGACGCGUGCGGAAGCAAACGGCCUCCAGCACCCCGAGGACUGCCUCAGCCAGGUGUCCCCCGAAACGCUCCAAACCACGUCUGUGGGGGAGGGGAAGGGUAAUGACGUGUCCAACCGUCCAGGAUACGCUCUUACUCUGGAGUUACUCGGACAUGACAAAACGCAAAUCUGCUUAUUAGCGGUAAGAUCCUCUGAGAUUUCUCAAGCAAAUCACCAAGUCUCCUAAUAUUAUUCAAUACAACCUUAAAACAGGAGCAAGAGGGUUCUGAUCCGAGUUGAAUGCUUUCCACCAAGGCGCUAUAUGUACUAAUUUUUCUGAACAGAGAACUGAAAACAGAUUUAGUCUAUAAACACAAUCACAACUUUCUGCCACAUCUUCUUUGAAUACAAUGCACGUAUCACCAGGCUCGCACGACUGUCUUACUCCAGGAAACGGCAAUGUUUUCGCUCUUUACUCUGCACAA